UUUUUCGCACUAAUCAAAACAAAAGCAUGCGUCGUUGUGUUCAACAACAUCGAUCGCACGAAGAAAUCUAAAGUUUACCCGAUUAAACUUACGAAACUCUAAAAUAAUGAGUGAAUCUUACAGGACCAAACAUAACAAUGCAAACCCAACUACACUCUUUGUUGAACUAAAACCCAUGAUAAACCACUGAUCAAACCAUCCACUGUGACAAAACAUUCACAAUCCCUCACUACUUAUAUACCAAAGUUACUAUUCUACAAUAAGAUAUGACAUACUUUUUGAAUGCUGAUGAUGAUGAUGAUGAUGACGUUCUUUAUUUGACAACCAAACUCUGAGAUUAUAUACUACAAAGUAAACAUCCUGACUCAGAUGAAGAAGUGAAUUGCAACCGCGCUCAAAAUAGGAACAACUAAACUACCCACAUAGUUCUUAACUUACAAACAAUAUAUUGAUACUAAAUGAGGUCCUAGCCUACUUCACCUGGUCUAACACUUAAUCAACAACAGUAACUUGCUACACAUUAAUUGUUUUCUAAAUUUAUUGUUAUGUCGGACCGUUACCUUUUCAUCGCAA